rnacentral:rRNA from 1 species
UAACGAAUCUUCCGCAAUGGGCGAAAGCCUGACGGAGCAAUGCCGCGUGUGGGAUGAAGCGUCUCUGACGUGUAAACCACUGUCAGGGGGCAGGAACAAUGACCGCCCCCAAAGGAAGUGGCGACUAACUCUGUGCCAGCAGUCGCGGUAAUACAGAGGCCACAAGCGUUAGUCGGAAUCACUGGGCUUAAAGGGUGCGUAGGCGGCUCGAAAAGUGCUUUGUGAAAUCCCGGGGCUCAACCCCGGAACAGCAGGGCAUACUGUCGAGCUUGAGGCAGGUAGGGGUCGCGAGGAACAGUAGGUGGAGCGGUGAAAUGCGUAGAUAUCUACUGGAAUGCCGAUGGUGAAGACGCGCGACUGGGCCUGUCCUGACGCUGAGGCACGAAAGUCGUGGGGAGCAAA